CCGCAUACGUCCUACGGUGAGAAAGGGGGCUUCGGCUCCCGCUAUUGGAUGAGCCUAUGUCGGAUUAGCUAGUUGGUGAGGUAACGGCUCACCAAGGCGACGAUCCGUAGCUGGUCUGAGAGGAUGAUCAGCCACAUCGGGACUGAGACACGGCCCGAACUCAUACGGGAGGCAGCAGUGGGGAAUAUUGGACAAUGGGGGCAACCCUGAUCCAGCCAUGCCGCGUAUGUGAAGAAGGCCCUCGGGUUGUAAAGCACUUUCAGCGAGGAAGAACGCCUGUCGGUUAAUACCCGGCAGGAAAGACAUCAMUCGCAGAAGAAGCACCGGCUAACUCCGUGCCAGCAGCCGCGGUAAUACGGAGGGUGCAAGCGUUAAUCGGAAUUACUGGGCGUAAAGCGCGCGUAGGUGGCUUGAUAAGCCGGUUGUGAAAGCCCCGGGCUCAACCUGGGAACGGCAUCCGGAACUGUCAGGCUAGAGUGCAGGAGAGGAAGGUAGAAUUCCCGGUGUAGCGGUGAAAUGCGUAGAGAUCGGGAGGAAUACCAGUGGCGAAGGCGGCCUUCUGGACUGACACUGACACUGAGGUGCGAAAGCGUGGGUAGCAAACAGGAUUAGAUACCCUGGUAGUCCACGCCGUAAACGAUGUCGACCAGCCGUUGGGUGCCUAGAGCACUUUGUGGCGAAGUUAACGCGAUAAGUCGACCGCCUGGGGAGUACGGCCGCAAGGUUAAAACUCAAAUGAAUUGACGGGGGCCCGCACAAGCGGUGGAGCAUGUGGUUUAAUUCGAUGCAACGCGAAGAACCUUACCUACCCUUGACAUCUACAGAAGCCGGAAGAGAUUCUGGUGUGCCUUCGGGAACUGUAAGACAGGUGCUGCAUGGCUGUCGUCAGCUCGUGUUGUGAAAUGUUGGGUUAAGUCCCGUAACGAGCGCAACCCUUGUCCUUAUUUGCCAGCACGUAAUGGUGGGAACUCUAAGGAGACUGCCGGUGACAAACCGGAGGAAGGUGGGGACGACGUCAAGUCAUCAUGGCCCUUACGGGUAGGGCUACACACGUGCUACAAUGGCCGGUACAAAGGGCUGCGAGCUCGCGAGAGUCAGCGAAUCCCUUAAAGCCGGUCUCAGUCCGGAUCGGAGUCUGCAACUCGACUCCGUGAAGUCGGAAUCGCUAGUAAUCGUGAAUCAGAAUGUCACGGUGAAUACGUUCCCGGGCCUUGUACACAC
rnacentral:rRNA from 1 species